rnacentral:rRNA from 1 species
GAAUUUUAGGAUUUUGACUAGCUUACUGAAUCAUAGAAUUUUUUAAAAUUCAUGAUGUCGUAAGGGAAAAUAAUGAUAAUACCUUACUAUGAGUGUUGUCCAAAUCUGGUGCCAGAAGACUCGGUAAGACCAGAAACGCAAACGUUAAUCAUCAUAAACAGGCGUAAAGGGUUAGUAGGCAGCUUUUAUCAGAUUAUGAAUUCAAAAUAAAGUAGUCUAAUUAAAAGCUAGAAUCAAAAAGAGGUUAUAGUGUAUAACGCCUAGAGGAGGGCUGAUAUCCAUAGAUCCUAGGCAGAAUACUAAGGGCGAAGGCCACUUUCCAUUAAUGAUUGACGCUGAGAAACGAAGGUUAGGGUAGGAAAUAGGAUUAGAUACCCCGGUACUCCUUUCUGUAAACGAUGAAUGGUAGUCAUUAGUUUAAUUAUUCACAAAAAAUAACUAGAGACGAAGUUAACACAAUAACCAUUCCGCCUUGUGAGUACUACUGCAAAGUAGAAAACAAAAAAAUUAGUCGGUCUCGAAGCAAACGGAGUGAAGCAUGUUAUUUAAUUCGAUAAAAUCCGCCA